UACGGGGGGGGGCAAGCGUUGUUCGGAUUUACUGGGCGUAAAGGGCGCGUAGGCGGCGUGACAAGUCACUUGUGAAAUCUCCGGGCUUAACUCGGAACGGUCAAGUGAUACUGUCGUGCUAGAGUACAGAAGGGGCAACUGGAAUUCUCGGUGUAGCGGUGAAAUGCGUAGAUAUCGAGAGGAACACCUGCGGCGAAGGCGGGUUGCUGGGCUGAUACUGACGCUGAGGAGCGAAAGCGUGGGGAGCGAACGGG
rnacentral:rRNA from 1 species